UCUAUAAUCUAUCUAUCUAUCUAUCUAUAAUCUAUAUAAAAGCAGAGUUUCUGCAGCCUUGAGGGCAAAUAAGUCGUUCAACAAUUUAUCCCAAAACUAUGAAAGUUAACCAUGGAUAUUUUUGUAAAAAAGCCUUUUAUUUCACUCAGAUUGGAUCUCAGCCGUUGAUUCAUAAUUGUAUCAGUUUCCCUCUUUCAUUCCAUAUAUCAUCUGAAACGCUUUUCACCUUACAUCUGAAAUCCUUCUCCUUCUCCUUCUCCUUCUCUGAGCCGUUUCUCUGAGCCGUUUCUCUGCUGAAACGCUUUUCACCUUACAUCUGAAACCCUUCUCCUUCUCUCUGAGCCGUUACACUAGGGUUUUGAAUAUAUAAAAUCAGCCAAGGAUUCACAUUCUUCAUCAGAGGAUUUCAUGUAUCUGACCACUCUGCUUCAGUCAAGGAUCCGCUGCAAUCAGGAUUGACAUGGGACCGCAAUCUCCAUGUCCGCUUGGAUUUCUUGCGCUCCGCCACUGCUGUGCCCCUCGGCUAGGUUCAUCACGGUGUUAAUCUGAUUUCGUCUGUGAUCUUCUUCACCGUCGUUUAGGUGUCGUGUGUUCCGCUUGAUCUCUGCUACCCCAUUUCAGUGAGUACAAAGACUUCUCUUUCCUUCCUUGAUUUCUUUUGUUUUUCAUGUCAUUGUUCUUAUUCUAUGUGAUGUUGGGUUCACUAUUUUUGCAAGUUUUCAGUUGCAUGAGAUCAGGCUACAAUUACAAGCAGUUUAAAUUUGAGUUCAAUUCGUUGAUUAAUUCUUCCAAUUUCUGUUCAUUGAAUUUUGUUUAGUGAAUCAUCUCCACACAUCCAUUGGUGCCUUAAAAAUUGGAAAGGAAAAUUGAGAUUUGAGAAUCAUGCUGCCAGGAAUCGGGGUUUGGCUUCUUCAUUUACCCACAAACUCACUGUAGCAGAUUCAACUAUGGUUUUUGCGGUAUUCCAGGCACUACAGGUAUGAAUCCAGGCGUAACUUAAAAAAAAUGCAGUUCCUUUUUCGGUUUUACUUGCAAUUUUCUCUUUUAUCCCUUUGUGGGUAUCUCUUUCUUCUGCCUAAUUAUGAUGAUGCAAUUGGUGUAAUUUCAAGCUUGGGGAUAUAAUGGGUCAUAUUUCUCUUAAUUUGCCCUCAAGGCCAAAGUAGAAGGGCAAUGCAUAAUGACUGAUCUGUAUUAAUUAAGGACAAUGCAUAAGGACCGAUCUGUAUCAGUUAUUAUGUAGUUAAGGGCUGAUCUGUUCACUGCUGUUUGUUUCUCUUCACAGGUACGUUGUGAAUCCGUAUAUCUCUCAUGCUUUCACUUCUGGAUUAGGAUUUUAGGUCAAUAUUCUGGAUUUUUAUUUGGUUUUCAUUGUUACCACAUAAUUAUUUGAUAACCUCAGCUUUUUUUCCACAGGUACCUUCUGAAUCCCUUUCUCUCUCACACUUUCACUGAGGUGUUUCCGCAAACAUUCUUGCUUAGAAUCUGCUUCUCAGCAUUGUGUUACUCUUAAAGGUUUAGUGAUUGGAGAUUAUGAACAGACAGAACUGCAUGGCUGAUUCUAAGUGCACACCUCAGCCAGGUGCUGAAGGGGAUGUGGUUCUUCAAAGAGAGAAGGGGAACCGAGGAAUGAUAAGUAAGAGAGAACUAUAGCGGUUAGAGCUGGGUGAGAGUGAAAGGAAUAUUGUUUAGGUGGUUGUGAAAAAUGGAGAUGUUAAUAGCAAAAGCAAGGGCCCUGUUCCAGGUUAGUAGACUGCGCCAUAUGCUUAUUGUAAGUAUCAAGCAUCAAGGGUGAGUUGAUUAAGCAUUUUAUAUCAUUAGAUGCAUUCAAAUAAACUUUUUAUUAUUAAUUGCAUUCAAAUAUUGAGUUUAGUGUUUUAUUACUUUUACUGCAAACUGAUUAUGAAUCUAUAGUUUUGAUUAAAAAUGUAUGUAUAACUUAUUUAUAUGCUCUCCUCAUAGAUAUCUCUUGCCAUUGGGAUCUUGACAAGGCAGGAUCUUCUGGUCUACAACAUGAAGACAGUCUUUCCUAAUUUAAGUAUAAGAAAAGACAUACUAAGCAUAGGAGCAUAUUUCAUGCUAAGAGAAAAAAGAGUUGGUUAUGAAAUUAGAUAGGUCUCAACACGUGAGGUUGGAUGUGCUAGCCAUAUUGACCAAUGCAGGUGACUCUUGAAAUAUAUAAUGAGUGAUGAUGAGCUUAGAGCAAAAAUUUGAGCCAUGUUGGUGACUAACUUAUAAAAUCUGCAUAGGGUUGCCAACUGUUGUUUUUCCUCUUAAUUAUUGUGUACCAUUGUUUCAUCAGACACAGAUUGAUGUUAUUGAUUUCUCCUUGGUUCCUUUA